rnacentral:rRNA from 1 species
GGCGUAGGGCGCGAGCGUUGUCCGGAUUUAUUGGGCGUAAAGAGCUCGUAGGCGGCUUGUCGCGUCGAAUGUGAAAUCUCAGGGCUCAACUCUGACAUUGCAUUCGAUACGGGCAGGCUAGAGUUCGGUAGGGGAGACUGGAAUUCCUGGUGUAGCGGUGAAAUGCGCAGAUAUCAGGAGGAACACCGAUGGCGAAGGCAGGUCUCUGGGCCGAUACUGACGCUGAGGAGCGAAAGCGUGGGGAGCGAACAGG